rnacentral:rRNA from 1 species
UUGGAGGGCAAGUCUGGUGCCAGCAGCCGCGGUAAUUCCAGCUCCAAUAGCGUAUAUUAAAGUUGUUGCAGUUAAAAAGCUCGUAGUUGAAUUUUAGGCCUGGCCGGACGAUCCGUCUUUGGCGAGAACUGUUCUGUUGUCGGGUCAUCCUUCUGGUGAACCAGUAUGCUCUUAAUUGGGUGUGUUGGGGAGCCAGGACCAUUACCUUGAAAAAAUUAGAGUGUUUAAAGCGGGCUAUUGCUUGAAUAGAUUAGCAUGGAAUAAUAGAAUAGGACGUUGUGGUUCUAUUUUGUUGGUUUCUAGGACCACCGUAAUGAUUAAUAGGGAUAGUUGGGGGCAUUAGUAUUCAAUUGUCAGAGGUGAAAUUCUUGGAUUUAUUGAAGACUAACUAUUGCGAAAGCAUUUGCCAAGGAUGUUUUCAUUAAUCAAGAACGAAAGUUAGGGGAUCGAAGACGAUCAGAUACCGUCGUAGUCUUAACCAUAAACUAUGCCGACUAGGGAUCGGAUGAUGUUAUUUUUAAUGACUCAUUCGGCGCCUUACGGGAAAC